rnacentral:lncRNA from 1 species
AGCGAAGUCCCAGGGCUGGGGACAAAAGGUGGAAGAUGCAGAGAAACAGGCCUGAAAACCACGCUGGAAUGUUCCUGAGAGCCAUUUCUGGUCACUUCUUCUCUUCUUUGCUCAUACAAGAACAGAAACCACUGCCUGGUAAGUCCAUCUCAGGAGCCCUACAACUCGGAACUGACAAAAAGCAGCAAAGGGCCAAAGGCCUCUGAGAAUCACUGUGGACUGACUGGGGCCUGCCUUCCUGUGUUUGAUCAGAACACAUUCCACUCAUCAUCCUAUGUGGGCCACCAAGACAAGGCUAGCAGAGUACUUCAGUAAGGACAAACCAUUCUUCAGAACAUCCUGGCCAAUAUAGCCAGGCUGUACUUGUUCUCUCGGGAUGCUGGGUCUGGCCUCUUUGUC